CUUCUGAAAAUGUCCGGAUGGUA
rnacentral:piRNA from 1 species